GAUGAACGCUAGCGGCAGGCCUAAUACAUGCAAGACGAACGGUAAGAUUUUUAGCAACAGAGAUCCUAGAGUGUCGUAAGGGUGCGUAACACGUAUGCAAUCUGCCCUCAACAGGAGAAUAGCUCCCCGAAAGGGGAAUUAACACUCCGUAAGAUUGUGGUUCGGCAUCGGACAGCAAUUAAAACUGAGGUGAUUGAGGAUGAGCAUGCGCAUGAUUAGUUAGUUGGCGGGGUAACGGCCCACCAAGACGAUGAUCAUUAGGGGAACUGAGAGGUUGAUCCCCCACACUGGCACUGAGACACGGCCCAGACUCCUACGGGAGGCAGCAGUGGGGAAUAUUGGACAAUGGGCGCAAGUCUGAACCAGCCAUGCCGCGUGCAGGAAGACGGUCCUAUGGAUUGUAAACUGCUUUUGUACGGGAAGAAACACUCCUACGUGUAGGAGCCUGACGGUACCGUAAGAAUAAGGAUCGGCUAACUCCGUGCCAGCCGCCGCAGUAAUAC
rnacentral:rRNA from 1 species